rnacentral:rRNA from 1 species
UAGGGAAUAUUCCGCAAUGGGCGAAAGACCUGACGGAGCAACGCCGCGUGAGUGAUGAAGGCCUUCGGGUCGUAAAGCUCUGUUGCAGGGGAAAAAGAAAGUGAUUGUACCCUGUCAGAAAGGACCGGCAAACUUCGUGCCAGCAGCCGCGGUAAUACGAAGGGUCCUAGCGUUGUUCGGAAUCAUUGGGCGUAAAGAGCACGUAGGUGGCCUUGUAAGUCAGAUGUGAAAGCCCAGGGCUCAACCCUGGAAGUGCAUCUGAAACUGCUUGGCUUGAGUACAGAAGAGGUAAGUGGAAUUCCUGGUGUAGUGGUGAAAUACGUAGAUAUCAGGAGGAACAUCGGUGGCGAAGGCGGCUUACUGGUCUAGUACUGACACUGAGGUGCGAAAGCAUGGGGAUCAAACAGGAUUAGAUAC